CCCAGAUCUCCUCAUCUGUGUAGUUAUUGAAGGGGUCAAGGUUGUACCUGUAGGCAAACACACCCUUUAUCUCUGUGACUUGAUGUGUGUGUGUGUGUGUGUGUGUGUGUGUGUGUGUGUGUGUGUCUGUGUGUGUGUCUCUGCAGAGUAACAUGUUAGCUGUGCUUACCUGAUUGUGCCAAUAAACAGCACAGGAUCUUGAGGGAUGAUUGACAAUUUACUGCGCAGAUCCUGCAGACCAAUGGACAUGAUAUCCACUCCAUCUAUCAAAAUGGUUCCUGCUGCCGGCUCCACAAGCCUGAA